rnacentral:rRNA from 1 species
CGUACUCAUUAAUUAAGAACGAAAGUUAGAGGUUCGAAGGCGAUCAGAUACCGCCCUAGUUCUAACCUUAAAUUAUGCUGACCAGCAAGCCGUCGAUGUCUCAUGACUAGACGGGAAGCUUCCGGGAAACCAAAGUCUUUGAGUUCCUGGGGAAGUAUGGUUGCAAAACUGAAACUUAAAGGAAUUGACGGAAGGGCACCACCAGGAGUGGAGCCUGUGGCUUAAUUUGACUCAACACGGGGAACCUUACUAGGUCCAGACACUGGAAGGAUAGACAGAUUAAAAGCUCUUUCUUAAUUUAGUGAGAGGUGGUGCAUGGCCGUUCUUGGUUGGUGGAGAGAUUUGUCAGGUUAAUUCCGAUAACGAACGAGACUCUUGCCUAUUAAAUAGUUGGAUGAUUAAAAUAUCAUGUCCUCAAUAGCUUCUUAGAGAUACAAACGGCAUGCAGCCAUCCGAAAAAGAGCAAUAACAGGUCAGUGAUGCCCUGUGAUGUCCUAGGCCGCACGCGUGCUACACUGAAGGGUUCAGCGUGUUUUCCUUCUCCGAGAGGAGAGGGUAACCAGUUGAAACCCCUUCGUAGCUUGGGAUAGGCCUGUAUCAAGCCCUUGAACGGGGAAUUCCUAGUAAGCUCAAGUAAACAGCUUGUGUUGAUUAAGUCCCUGCCCUUUGUACACACCGCCCGUCGCUACUACUGAUUGAAUCACUUAGUGAGGCCUUCGGACUGUCGCUCUUAGUAGUCUUAUGACUGCAUUGGGCCUGACGGAAAGAUGUCCAAACUUGGUCAUUUAGAGGAAGUAAAAGUCGUAACAAGGUUUUCGUAGGUGAACU